GACGAACGCUGGCGGCGUGCCUAAUUCAUGCAAGUAGAACGCUGAAGAGAGGAGCUUGCUCUUCUUGGAUGAGUUGCGAACGGGUGAGUAACGCGUAGGUAACCUGCCUGGUAGCGGGGGAUAACCAUUGGAAACGAUAGCUAAUACCGCAUAAAAUUGAUUAUUGCAUGAUAAUUAAUUGAAAGAUGCAAUUGCAUCACUACCAGAUGGACCUGCGUUGUAUUAGCUAGUUGGUGAGGUAACGGCUCACCAAGGCGACGAUACAUAGCCGACCUGAGAGGGUGAUCGGCCACACUGGGACUGAGACACGGCCCAGACUCCUACGGGAGGCAGCAGUAGGGAAUCCUCGGCAAUGGGGGGAACCCUGACCGAGCAACGCCGCGUGAGUGAAGAAGGUUUUCGGAUCGUAAAGCUCUGUUGUAAGAGAAGAACGGGUGCGAGAAGUGUAUUU
rnacentral:rRNA from 1 species